rnacentral:rRNA from 1 species
GACGUAGGGUCCAAGCGUUGUCCGGAUUUACUGGGCGUAAAGAGCGCGUAGGCGGUCCGUUAAGUGUAGAGUGAAAGCUCCGGGCUCAACUCGGAAAUUGCUCUGCAUACUGGCGGACUCGAGGACGGAAGAGGUUUGUGGAAUUCCUGGUGUAGCGGUGAAAUGCGCAGAUAUCAGGAGGAACACCGGUGGCGAAGGCGGGUCUCUGGGCCGAUACUGACGCUGAGGAGCGAAAGCGUGGGGAGCGAACAGG